UACGUAGGUGGCAAGCGUUUGUCCGGAUUUAUUGGGCGUAAAGAGCUCGUAGGUGGUUCGGUAAGUCGGAUGUGAAAUCUCCAGGCUCAACCUGGAGGGGCCACCCGAUACUGCUGUGACUCGAGUCCGGUAGGGGAGUGGGGAAUUCCUGGUGUAGCGGUGAAAUGCGCAGAUAUCAGGAGGAACACCGGUGGCGAAGGCGCCACUCGUGGGCCGGUACCUGACGCUGAGGGCACGAAGGCCAGGGGAGCAAACGGG
rnacentral:rRNA from 1 species